GAUGAAGAACGCAGCGAAAUGCGAUAAGUAAUGUGAAUUGCAGAAUUCAGUGAAUCAUCGAAUCUUUGAACGCAUCUUGCGCUCCUUGGUAUUCUGAGGAGCAUGCCUGUUUGAGUGUCAUUACACCACUCAAGCUAUGCUUGGUAUUGGGCGUCGUCCUUAGUUGGGCGCGCCUUAAAGACCUCGGCGAGGCCACUCCGGCUUUAGGCGUAGUAGAAUUUAUUCGAACGUCUGUCAAAGGAGAGGAACUCUGCCGACUGAAACCUUUAUUUUUCUAGGUUGACCUCGGAUCAGGUAGGGAUACCCGCUGAACUUAAGCAUAUCAAUAAGCGGAGGA
rnacentral:misc_RNA from 1 species